rnacentral:rRNA from 1 species
AGUGAACGCUGGCGGUAGGCCUAACACAUGCAAGUCGAACGGCAGCACAGUAAGAGCUUGCUCUUACGGGUGGCGAGUGGCGGACGGGUGAGGAAUACAUCGGAAUCUACUUUUUCGUGGGGGAUAACGUAGGGAAACUUACGCUAAUACCGCAUACGACCUACGGGUGAAAGCAGGGGAUCUUCGGACCUUGCGCGAUUGAAUGAGCCGAUGUCGGAUUAGCUAGUUGGCGGGGUAAAGGCCCACCAAGGCGACGAUCCGUAGCUGGUCUGAGAGGAUGAUCAGCCACACUGGAACUGGGACACGGUCCAGACUCCUACGGGAGGAAGCAGUGGGGAAUAUUGGACAAUGGGCGCAAGCCUGAUCCAGCCAUACCGCGUGGGUGAAGAAGGCCUUCGGGUUUUAAAGCCCUUUUGUUGGGAAAGAAAAGCAGCAGGUUAAUACCCCGCUGUUCUGACGGUACCCAAAGAAUAAGCACCGGCUAACUUCGUG